CAUUUUAUCUAGGCAAAUAUUUAUUAAAACCAUAAUCGUUUAAUUAUAAUUAACGUGCAUAAGUGCUAUUACACUCAAGCAAUCAACAAAAAUAGUUCAACCAUGGAGAAACUUACGUUGCUCAUGCUUUCUAUAUGCAUUGCAUCUUCAUUGUGCCUAAUAUGUAAAGAAACUGGAGAUUUUGUAAUGUACAACGUGAGCUGCGAAACAUAUUACCACUGUGAACCUUCAAAGAUAUAUCCGAAUCUAUUUAAAAGAACAAUAAGACAUUGUGCCUAUGGUGAUGUAUUUUAUUCUAGAAGCAAAUAUUUGAAAGGCAAAUGCGAAACCAAUAAAACUUGUAAAUUCUAAAAUUUAUGUCAAAAGAAAAUCUGAUCUGAUUAGUACUUUUAAAUAUUAUUAUUGUUUGAUUCAAUUAUUCUAAUCAAUUAUUAAUUAUUGUUAUAAUAAUAAAAUGCGUAACAUUUAA